rnacentral:rRNA from 1 species
GACGAGCGCUGGCGGCGUGCUUAACACAUGCAAGUCGAACGGUGAACGAGGGAGCUUGCUCCCUCCGGAUCAGUGGCGAACGGGUGAGUAACACGUGAGCAAUCUGCCCUGGACUCUGGGAUAAGCGUUGGAAACGACGUCUAAUACCGGAUACGAGACGCGAAGGCAUCUUCAGCGUCUGGAAAGAACUUCGGUCCAGGAUGGGCUCGCGGCCUAUCAGGUAGUUGGUGAGGUAACGGCUCACCAAGCCUACGACGGGUAGCCGGCCUGAGAGGGUGACCGGCCACACUGGGACUGAGACACGGCCCAGACUCCUACGGGAGGCAGCAGUGGGGAAUAUUGCACAAUGGGCGCAAGCCUGAUGCAGCAACGCCGCGUGCGGGAUGACGGCCUUCGGGUUGUAAACCGCUUUUAGUAAGGAAGAAGGGGAGCUUGCUCCUUGACGGUACUUGCAGAAAAAGGACCGGCUAACUACGUGCCAGCCGCCGCAGUAAGAC